rnacentral:rRNA from 1 species
CCGCAUCUGUGCAUGCAGCAUAUCAAUAAGCGGAGGAAAAGAAACUAACAAGGAUUCCCUUAGUAACGGCGAGUGAAGCGGGAAGAGCUCAAAUUUGAAAUCUUCAAGGUUUUACCUUGACGAAUUGUAGUUUAAAGAAGUGUUUUCUGUUGAAGUUUUGGUAAAAGUUCUUUGGAAUAGGACAUCAUAGAGGGUGAGAAUCCCGUAUUUGACCAUUAUUUUCAGCUGUGUGAUACACUUUCAAAGAGUCGGAUUGUUUGGGAAUGCAGUCCAAAAUGGGUGGUAAAUUUCAUCUAAAGCUAAAUAUUGGCGAGAGACCGAUAGCGAACAAGUACCGUGAGGGAAAGAUGAAAAGAACUUUGAAAAGAGAGUUAAACAGUACGUGAAAUUGUCAAGAGGGAAGCGUUUGACACCAGUGUUGUUUUCUCGAAAAUCAAUUAAAAAGAGUUUAGAUUUUGUUGUGUAUUGACCUUAACAGCUUGCAUUUCAAUUUUCUUGCUUUUUUUAAUGCACUUUUCGUUUAACAAGUCAACAUCAGUUUCUUUUGUUGUAAAAAGGUCAUUGGAAGGUGGCUUUCUUUUCGGAGAAAGUGUUUAUAGCCUUUGACUCCUGCAAUCGGAGAGACUGAGGUCUGCAGCGUAGAUCCUUCGGGGUUAGAUACAUUUGUGCUAAGUUAUAGCUUUUUAUAGACAACUUGUUGACUAUGAUUAGUCUUGUAGCUUACUCGCUUAUGCUAUUUUACCUACGCUUAGGAUGUUGAACUCUAUCACACACAG